rnacentral:rRNA from 1 species
GGGUUGUGAGGUUAAGCGACUAAGCGUACACGGUGGAUGCCCUGGCAGUCAGAGGCGAUGAAGGACGUGCUAAUCUGCGAUAAGCGUCGGUGAGGUGAUAUGAACCGUUAUAACCGGCGAUUUCCGAAUGGGGAAACCCAGUGUGWUUCGWCACACUAUCAUUAACUGAAUCCAUAGGUUAAUGAGGCGAACCGGGGGAACUGAAACAUCUAAGUACCC